GAUGAACGCUGGCGGCGUGCCUAACACAUGCAAGUCGAACGAAGCGCUUUGAAGUUUUCGGACAGAUGAGUGACUGAGCGGCGGACGGGUGAGUAACGCGUGGGUAACCUGCCUCAUACAGGGGGAUAACAGUUAGAAAUGACUGCUAAUACCGCAUAAGCGCACAGUACCGCAUGGUACAGUGUGAAAAACUCCGGUGGUAUGAGAUGGACCUGCGUCUGAUUAGCUAGUUGGUGAGGUAACGGCCCACCAAGGCGACGAUCAGUAGCCGACCUGAGAGGGUGACCGGCCACAUUGGGACUGAGACACGGCCCAACUCCUACGGGAGGCAGUAGUGGGGAAUAUUGCACAAUGGGGGAAACCCUGAUGCAGCGACGCCGCGUGAGUGAAGAAGUAUUUCGGUAUGUAAAGCUCUAUCAGCAGGGAAGAAAAUGACGGUACCUGACUAAGAAGCCCCGGCUAACUACGUGCCAGCCGCCGCAGUAAUAC
rnacentral:rRNA from 1 species